rnacentral:rRNA from 1 species
CAGUCGAGCGGUAGCACAGGAGAGCUUGCUCUCUGGGUGACGAGCGGCGGACGGGUGAGUAAUGUCUGGGAAACUGCCUGAUGGAGGGGGAUAACUACUGGAAACGGUAGCUAAUACCGCAUAAUGUCUUCGGACCAAAGUGGGGGACCUUCGGGCCUCACGCCAUCAGAUGUGCCCAGAUGGGAUUAGCUAGUAGGUGGGGUAAUGGCUCACCUAGGCGACGAUCCCUAGCUGGUCUGAGAGGAUGACCAGCCACACUGGAACUGAGACACGGUCCAGACUCCUACGGGAGGCAGCAGUGGGGAAUAUUGCACAAUGGGCGCAAGCCUGAUGCAGCCAUGCCGCGUGUGUGAAGAAGGCCUUCGGGUUGUAAAGCACUUUCAGCGAGGAGGAAGGGUAGUGUGUUAAUAGCACAUUGCAUUGACGUUACUCGCAGAAGAAGCACCGGCUAACUCCGUGCCAGCAGCCGCGGUAAUACGGAGGGUGCAAGCGUUAAUCGGAAUUACUGGGCGUAAAGCGCACGCAGGCGGUUUGUUAAGUCAGAUGUGAAAUCCCCGCGCUUAACGUGGGAACUGCAUUUGAAACUGGCAAGCUAGAGUCUUGUAGAGGGGGGUAGAAUUCCAGGUGUAGCGGUGAAAUGCGUAGAGAUCUGGAGGAAUACCGGUGG